GUGAAUCAUCGAAUCUUUGAACGCAAAUUGCACUCUCCGGUUUUCCGGGAGAGUAUGCCUUUUUGAGGGUCAUCCUAAAAAAAAUCGACUUUGUUGCUGUUGUAUUGUGGCGUUCGGCGGAGAGGGGUUAUCUUAAAUCUCGGUUUAAGCGACUUAAAAAUUUUUUUACGAUUCUAAGAAUGUUUCUAAGAGUUUUCUUGUACGUUUAAGGUAUCGAAGGUCUUAUUAGACGUGGCCGUCAUAUCGUGUCGUGUCCA
rnacentral:misc_RNA from 1 species